ensembl:lncRNA
GAGAAGGAGGACAAACUGUAGACUUGUGCGGAGGAGCAGGUGCUAGAGUCCGACAGAAAGAGAUAGGUGUCAGUACAGACUGAAAGAUGUGGAAAAACAGAAAGAAGUUUAAAUUGAUUUCUUUUGCUUUUUAAAGAACAAUUACCACAUUUGCUUCCUCUUCCUAAUUCAGCUUGAGUUACUGAAUACAGUUCUGAGAAAUCAACAGAACAGUAACAAUUGUAAUUGCACAGAAGAAACUUCAGAUACUCCUGUACUGGGAGGGGUAAUACAGGUGUUAUCUUACUGUGUGAGAGAGAGAGAGUGAGAGAGAAAGAAGAGGAAGAGAAAGAGGGAGCGUGCCAUUGUUGCAGGGAUGUUCAUGAUUAUUCGAGAAGGAUCAGCAGGAGGGGCAGGUAGUACCGGCGGCAUGAACGCUCCACCGGAGAGAACAGCCAAACAGGUCCAGGCCGCAAUCAAGAAGAAGGUGGAGAAACAGAGGAAGCAAGUUGAAACGGGUGUGGUGGAGGCAUUUAACAGUAAUACAAGACCGAAAAUGGGACAAAAAAAGAAUCAGCCCAUCCAUCCUCCCAGCAGAAGUGGAGAUGGUGAGGAGGAAGAAGAGGAAGAGCCUGCUGAGAAUGGGGAACCAAAGGAGAAGGAAGAACUCGACCUCAGACCUAUCGUGGAUUCUGUUUUUGGCCAAGUAAGAGUACACAAGAUCACCCCCUGCUGGCCAUCAUUCAUAUCCCAUACACAUACUGCCAUGUCAUGCUCUUUUAGCUACAGCAGUCUAUCUGUGGUCCACUACUACCUUCAGUUUUCACAUUUUUUUGUUGUGUUGGUAGAACCAGAACUGCUUAUAUAAUUAAUAGGACCGGAGUGGCUGUAUAUAUAUCAAACUAUUACAAUUUUAAAGGCCCUAGCAGGUCUUUAUUCUGAUGGGUAUUCCUUAUCCGUGCUCUGUUAGGUAACAUUGUUGAUACAUGAUAUGGACGCUCUGCUAACUCAUUCCUUUUAUUUUCUAAUUGACACUCGCCGUAACAGUAACUGUUGAAUGCAACAUGAAAAUCUUGAAGCUCAGAGUUAGACCCAAUUUUGAUUAAAUGAUAACAUAACCAUGAUGUCAAUAUGUAUAUACAGGCACCCAGGGAGCUGUUGGGGGUUCGGUGCCUUGCUCAAGGGCACCUCAGUCAUGGUUUUGCCAGCCCGAGACUGAAACCCACAACCUUAGGAUUGGGAGUCAAACUAUAUAUAUAAAUAAAUGCAAUCUCUUGGUAAACUUAUUAAGCA